rnacentral:rRNA from 1 species
AACAAACGCUGGCGGCGUGCCUAAUACAUGCAAGUCGAACGGGGAAAGCUUUCGGGUGAGUACUAGUGGCGCACGGGUGAGUAACGCGUGGAUAAUCUGCCUUAGAGUGGGGGAUAACUAGUCGAAAGAUUAGCUAAUACCGCAUAAGACCACAAGAACUGCGGUUCAAGGGGUCAAAGGUUUUUCGCUCUAAGAUGAGUCCGCGUAAGAUUAGCUAGUUGGUAGGGUAACGGCCUACCAAGGCGACGAUCUUUAACUGGUCUGAGAGGAUGACCAGUCACACUGGAACUGGGACACGGUCCAGACUCCUACGGGGGGCAGCAGUAGGGAAUAUUGCACAAUGGAGGAAACUCUGAUGCAGCGACGCCGCGUGAGUGAUGAAGGCCUUCGGGUCGUAAAGCUCUGUCGCAGGGGAAUAACACAAUGAAGGUACCCUGUAAGAAAGGAUCGGCUAACUUCGUGCCAGCAGCCGCAGUAACAC